UACGUAGGGUGCAAGCGUUGUCCGGAAUUAUUGGGCGUAAAGAGCUCGUAGGCGGUGUGUCGCGUCGGCUGUGAAAACCUGGGGCUCAACCCUGGGCUUGCAGCUGAUACGGGCAGACUGGAGUUCGGCAGGGGAGACUGGAAUUCCUGGUGCAGCGGUGAAAUGCGCAGAUAUCAGGAGGAACACCGGUGGCGAAGGCGGUUCUCUGGGCAUUACCUGACGCUGAGGAGCGAAAGUGUGGGGAGCGAACAGG
rnacentral:rRNA from 1 species